GAUGAACGCUGGCGGCGUGCCUAAUACAUGCAAGUCGAGCGAACAGAUGAGGAGCUUGCUCCUCUGACGUUGGCGGCGGACGGGUGAGUAACACGUGGAUAACCUACCUAUAAGACUGGGAUAACUUCGGGAAACCGGAGCUAAUACCGGAUAAUAUAUUGAACCGCAUGGUUCAAUAGUGAAAGACGGUUUUGCUGUCACUUAUAGAUGGAUCCGCGCCGCAUUAGCUAGUUGGUAAGGUAACGGCUUACCAAGGCAACGAUGCGUAGCCGACCUGAGAGGGUGAUCGGCCACACUGGAACUGAGACACGGUCCAGACUCCUACGGGAGGCAGCAGUAGGGAAUCUUCCGCAAUGGGCGAAAGCCUGACGGAGCAACGCCGCGUGAGUGAUGAAGGUCUUCGGAUCGUAAAACUCUGUUAUUAGGGAAGAACAAAUGUGUAAGUAACUAUGCACGUCUUGACGGUACCUAAUAAGAAAGCCACGGCUAACUACGUG
rnacentral:rRNA from 1 species